rnacentral:rRNA from 1 species
GGAAACGAUAGCUAAUACCGCAUAACAAUGUUAGAUGCAUAUUUAACAUUUGAAAGUACCAAUUGGUACACUAUGAGAUGGACCCGCGUUGUAUUAGCUAGUUGGUAGUGUAAUGGACUACCAAGGCGAUGAUACAUAGCCGACCUGAGAGGGUGAUCGGCCACAUUGGGACUGAGACACGGCCCAAACUCCUACGGGAGGCAGCAGUAGGGAAUCUUCGGCAAUGGACGAAAGUCUGACCGAGCAACGCCGCGUGAGUGAAGAAGGUUUUCGGAUCGUAAAACUCUGUUGUUAGAGAAGAACGUUGAUUAGAGUGGAAAAUUAAUCAAGUGACGGUAUCUAACCAGAAAGGGACGGCUAACUACGUGCCAGCAGCCGCGGUAAUACGUAGGUCCCGAGCGUUGUCCGGAUUUAUUGGGCGUAAAGCGAGCGCAGGUGGUUUAAUAAGUCUGAUGUAAAAGGCAGUGGCUCAACCAUUGUGUGCAUUGGAAACUGUUAGACUUGAGUGCAGUAGAGGAGAGUGGAAUUCCAUGUGUAGCGGUGAAAUGCGUAGAUAUAUGGAGGAACACCGGUGGCGAAAGCGGCUCUCUGGACUGUCACUGACACUGAGGCUCGAAAGCGUGGGUAGCAAACAGGAUUAGAUACCCUGGUAGUCCACGCCGUAAACGAUGAGUGCUAGUUGUUUGGGGCUAUCCAGCCCUAAGUGACGCAGCAAACGCAUUAAGCACUCCGCCUGGGGGAGUACGACCGCAAGGUUGAAACUCAAAGGAAUUGACGGGGGCCCGCACAAGCGGUGGAGCAUGUGGUUUAAUUCGAAGCAACGCGAAGAACCUUACCAGGUCUUGACAUACUCGUGCUAUUCCUAGAGAUAGGAAGUUCCUUCGGGACACGKGAURGCRGGUGGUGCAUGGUUGUCGUCAGCUCGUGUC